rnacentral:lncRNA from 1 species
AAAAACACGUGGAAAGAGGAAAUGGGAAAUGUGUUAGGAUCGGGGGCAAGAGAGGGGUAUGAAAGCAGAAAAGGAUUUUUGUUUUGAAGACGGUUACAAGGAGAUUCAGGAAAAAAAAGGAAGGGGAACUCAUCAAUCAGGGAGAAAAAAGCUUAUCGGAGGAGGAAGAUUUUGACUACAAGGAGAUCAUCAGAAUUAGGCAAAGACGGCAUCGGAAGUGACAGGUAACAGAGGAAACCUCAGGUAAACACCUCACUCGUUAUUCCUAUGGUGCUUGAUGUAAGGAACUCGUGUGUUUGCUAGUACAUGUUAUGCCCCGAUUGAUCUGUUUCAAGAAUAUUAUGGUGUAAGAUUAUUCUUCCUUCCUCGUUUCCAAUCCCCAUCACCACCGGCCACUACGACCGAACAUCAUCAUCCCGUCUUCAUCUUCACCAUUCGUUCAUCCUAUCUUCUCCCAACCUUGUCCAUCAACAUAUACCCUGAAAUAGGUUUGGGAAGCGGAUACAAAUAGUAAGAUUCAACCCUCACCGGAGCAGUAACCCAAAACAGGACCCAACCCCAACCAUUCAAAGAAUACAGUCACACCCUCAAUUGGUAUCCCAUCCUCUCCUUCAUCACCAUUGGUGAUUUUCAGUCAAACCUGCGAAAACUACAUAGAGUUGAUUAUAAGCCCUUACACCUUACACUGAUUUCUGCACCAAACUAGUUUUCGCAAUCCAAACCAUCAAUGGGAUUCAAUAGGUAAAUGAGAAAUUCACCCAGCUAAAUGGGAUUAGUAAUAGAAGAAAGCAGUGGCACAAGGGUGGGCCGUGUUUGUUGAACGAAGGAUUCGUGGUGACGGCGACGGUGGAGGAGUUUUUCGGAAGCAUUGGCGAUCCGAUAGUGAAGGUUUCAAGCUCUAGGAGAAUCACUGGAAGUUGUUGUUCGAGCUAGGGUUGAGAUUAUUUUCCGGUCAUAGCAACCGCCGCAGCAGGCGGAAACCAGCGCAUCCAAAUCGUCUUUCAAUGAUGGUUGCCAAGUCGGUUUGUUCUUCGUGAUGGUGGUUCAGAGUUGCCUUGGCACCGUUAACCUUCCGGUGAUGAGCGGAAUCGCCGAUAGCGGCUGCUACUUGGAGGGAAUGAGUCGCGCGUCCAUGGCGGUUGGGUGGAUGGGUUCCUAGGGGUUCGACAAGCGUGGAAGAUGAGUGGUGAGAGUAGGGUUGAGCGAGUGUGUGAUUGGCCGAGAUUUUGGUGGUGGUCGGCGCCUCUGAUAGUACCUUUGACUGCCAAUUAUGGUGGUUGGGAUGGUGGUGAUGAGGUUCAGAGAUGGUGGUGCUCAUUGGAGAAGGAAAAAUCGAAGCCUCAUGGUGUUUGGGGGUGAGAAAACCCUAGGAAAAUUCUGAAGAGGGGAAUUGAGCUGGGUCCAUUUUAGCUUUUUUUUAUUUUUUUUUAUUUUAUGUUUCUUUUAGUCUUUUAGGCUUUUCCUUCUACACCCCCGUUUCUUUACUAUUUCGCACCCUAUCUGCUUGGGCUGAUGUUGAGCCCAUUCUACAAAAAAACAAUGUCUUCCUGCUCCCCUGUUUUCAUUCUCCUCACACCCUUUCUGCCUAGGCCAACUCUGGGCCAGGUCAAAAACGUGAAACAUCCAUUUCUACACCCCCAUUUCGUUUUCACACACCUGGCCACUUGAGUUUGGACCCAUUAAGUAAAAAAAAAGUGAUUUAGACACCCCCAUCUUUUAUUUAAACACCACUACACUUUUUAUUUUAUUUCAUCAUUAAGUUUUUCAUAUUAUUAUUAUUUUUUUUACUCUUUAUUUCUAUUUAGUAAUUUACCUACUUAUCUUAUUUCUAUUUUUCUAUCGUUAUCUACUUUUUAUUAAAAAUCAAAUCAAAAUAUUUUGAAAAGGUUUAAGCACACGUGCGACUGCUCGCGUAGGCCUUGUGCUGAAAAUCUUUUCCUUUUCUUUUACAAAAAUUAAAAAUCAUAAAAAAUUUAAAAUCAAAUAAAAAUAUUUUGAAAAGGUUUAAGCACACGUGCGACCGCUCGCGUAGGCCUUGUGCUGAAUAUCUUGUCCUUCUUUUUUAUAAAAAUCAAAUAAAAAUGUUUUGAAAAGGUUUAAGCACACGCGCGACCGCUUGCGUAGGCCUUGUGCUGAAGAUCUUUUCCUUCUCUUUCAAAAAAUUAAAAUCAAUAAAAAUAUUUGGAAAGAUUUAAGCACACGUGCGACCACUCGCGUAGGCCUUGUGCUGAAGAUCUUUUCCUUCUCCUUUACAAAAAAUAAAAUUAAAAAAUAUUAUUUUAAGGGUUCUAGCGCAUGUGUGAUCGCACGCAUCGUCCUUGUGUUAGAAAACCCUUUCCUUUCUAAAUAAAAUAUUAAAAAUAUUUUGAAAAUGUUUAAGCACACGUGCGACCGCUCGCGUAGGCGUUGUGCUAAAAACAUUUUCUCUUUUAUAUAAAAAUACCAAAAAAUAUAAAAUCUUCAAAAACUAAAAACAUCUUCAAACAACAAUCUUUCUGAAAGAACUACGUAACCCUGAUUUCUCAGUAUGACUGAGAAUACGUAGGAGCAAGGUCAAUCCUUGUCGGGCCCAAAAAACAAAAAAAUAUUUUUGUUUCUUUAUUUUGUUACUCUUGGGAUAGUCAAACAUUUUGCAAACCACAUUUUUAUUCGCGCAUUUAAUUAAAGGUACUGCCUUAGGGUAGGCGUUGUGGGGGUGCUGACACCGUCUCCACACGUAACUGACUCCCGAAUUGAAUCUCUGGUUUUCAUAGACUAAGCCUUAUACUUUUUAUGGUUUUUUCCAUAGUUUUCCAGAAUAAACUAUGGUGGCGACUCCAAAACGUUUUUUUCGAAUAGUUUUCUAUGGAUCGUCGUCCCGUCGCGAUUCCGGUUGCGACACUGAGGAGUACAAAUGGAGAGGUAUACUAGUUAUGUUUUAGGGAAGAUUAUCAGGUAUGGCCCCGAGACUAUUAACAGCUUCUUGGGCACUAAGUGGGCUGAUGAGCAGUGCCAGUAUGCACUGUACAUAGGGGAGUUUUUAGACUAGGAGGACAUUGAGAGGGUUCUUUGUGUACCUAGGGGACACUUUCACAGGAACCCAAAUGGAGUGCCCAUCAAAAUCAAAAGGGCAGAUCUGACACCCUUGGCAAAGUAUUGGACGGCAUUUACUCAUGCCAAUGUUCAGCCGUGCUCUCAUGUUUCUGAUAUUACUCUUCAUCGGAUUAUGUUCAUCUAUUGUAUGCUGAGACCGAUGGAUGUGAAUGUUGGUGAGGUCAUCGCAAACGAGAUUCAGAGUUGCGCUACUACUGUGAGUAACAAGACACCAUUGGGACAUCCUUCCCUUAGAUGCUGCCUAUUAUAGACAGUUCUGUAGAGGAGAUGAGGCAGCCAGACCAGUGCCUAGGAGACGACCUAGAAGAGAAGCAGCUCAGCAGGAUGAACCAGCGCAGCAUGCAGAGCCAUUCCAGAUGAGGGACAUGUAUAUGUCCAUGAUGGAGGCUAGGAUGGAGUCUCUCCGCAGAGGGCAGGUGGCCACAGCCGAGAUGAUUGUAGGUCUAUAUGACACACCACCGGUGCACAGGUUGACUAUGGACGAGUUUCAUAUGGCUUGGCCUUAGGAGUAGGCACAGGGGAGUGAAACUGGAGCAUCUAAAGCUCUAGCCAUGGACGAGGAUGAUGAGGAGGAUGAUGACUUUGAGGAUGCAGAGGCUGGAGACAAUGAGGGCUCAGAUGAUAACAUGGGAUGAUAUGGCAUCUACUGAUGGAUGCCAUUGCAGUAGGACAGGGUUUUAUCUUUCUUUGUCUUUUGUAGUUUGAAUUUCUAGAAUAGGUUUAAAUUUUGUUCAGUAGAGUAGGUGUUUGUACUUACCUGAACACCUUUUUUUACUAUGGUUUGACUUGGUUUUAUUGCAUGAUGAGUUGCUUGAUGAAGUUUGGUGUGAAUGACAAAUUGAGAUUGUGUUGCAUGCUUAUAUACAGGUGAAUUGUUCACUAGCUUGUGAAUAGGUGUAUGAUGAUUUAUGAUUGUGAUUAUGAUGCUAAGAAGGAUGGAUGAUUGAUGUUUGAGAUGUUGAAAGAGCAUAAUUGUGUGAGGUUUUGAGCUCCAAAAUGUUUGUUGAUAUAUUGGCUAUUCAUUUGGAAGCAUGAAUGAUAUUGCCUGAAUCUUUAUGAUUGAUUGAAUUACAUUCUUAUGUCAUAUGAUCAAGGCCAUUUUUGGAAGCCCUUACUUAGCCAAAUUUUCGCCCAAAGUAAAGAGAACCAUGUGUUCUACCUUUUUUGAACCUAAGCCUUAAACAGGAUGAAAACCCUUGUUUUGAAAGUCUUUACCUUGAGUUAGGUUGAAGAAAUAUUUUGUGGUGUUGAUAAAAGGUUCAAGUUUGGGGUUGUUGAUGGAAAUUGAAGGGCAAAAGAAAGGCAUUGAGCUCAAGUGUUGAAUGGAAAAAGCAUGAGAAAAGAAAGAAAAGAAAAAGAAAAAGCAUGAAAGGUGAGCUCAAUGUAAAAGAAAAUAAAAAGGGGAAAGUUAGGAAUGAGUGAGAUUGGUAAAAGGAGAGUUUGUACUUGAACUAUGAUUAUGUGAAUAACUCUCUUAACUCAAGGAUUUUGUGAUUUGAAAACCUAAUGUUGCUUGUUAGCCCAACCACAUUAUAAGCCUUGAAAAAGUCCUUGUGAUGGCAUUUGUGUGUAAAGAUGUUGAUUGCAUGAGAUGAAUGUCAAUUUUGUUGCAUGUGACAGGUAAAUAGUAGAGAGAAGAGAGACCUCCUAAAAAACUUGAAUGAUUGAGUGAAACACUUUGCUUGGAAAGGAUUGAUGAAUUUCAUGAUUACAUCUGUGCUUAGUGGAUUGAACAUUCAUAAAAAUAGCAUUUGUUGGAGAAUAUAUGAAUAUGUGAACUGGAAUGAAUGAACGCAUAUAUGCAUCUUGAUUUGAUUUCAAUGAAAAGUUGAAUUGAGGAAUCACUUGUCAUGACAGAAUGAUUUUUGAAAGAGUUGAACUAUUUUUUAUGAUAAGGUGGAAAGGCUAAGUUUUCUCUUGUUUGCUUGAGGACAAGCAAAGUUCUAAGUUUGGGGUUGUGAUAACGGUUUAAAAACCAUUAUUUUUACAAUUAAAUUUGAUAUCAAAUCACACCCUUUAUGUCUUAGAAUGAGCUGAGAAUCAUGCAAAACAAUUGGUUUGUUCAUAAGAAAGUCAAAAGUGGUUUUUAGAGAUAUUAUGCUUGUUUUGAUAGAAUUUGAUGAGAGCUGAAGGAUGGAAGUGAAGAAGGGUGGACUUAGACUCAAGAAAGGAUGAGAAAAGAAGCAAAAGAAGAGUAAGGUCCACCGCUCAAUGCCAAUUCCAGCGCUGAGCGCCAGUUUUGAGGAGGAAAGCAUUGUUUCUCGCUUGAGCGACGACGCUUAGCGUCAUGCGACUUUGAGGGCCAGCGCUGAGCGCCAGUUUCCACCGUUGAGUGUCCUGCGAUUAGAGGGUCCACCGCUGAGCGUUCAACUGGGCGUUGAGCGCCUAAAUGAUGGGCUUGGGCCGAAAUUAUGUUACUUUUCUAUGUUAUAAAUAGCCCCAGUGCGGCCCUUAGAGUAAUCUUUUAGGAAAGGAAGACUUCAGAGCACCUUCUACACUCCUUGGAGGCGAUUUCUUGGAUGCUUAGGCUCCAAUUUAUCAAAUCUAGGGUUUAGUCUUUCAUAUUUUCCAUUAAUUCCAUCUAGUUUCACAAUGUCUAUGGUGAACUAAACUCUUUGUUGUUGGG